rfam:Tarsius syrichta cont1.410210, whole genome shotgun sequence.
UGAAGCUCCAAUGUGGUGGAAUUCCGGUGACUUGAUUACACGCUCGCAUUCAUGGUCACUUCCGAAGCGCUUUAGUGCCUUCCGUCCCCAAACCGCCAACAGCCAGGGCGGCCUCUCCCCGCGGUUUGUCAAAUGAUCCGCAGGGCCCGGAAGAGCCUUCGUCUCACCCGGGAUCCAC